AACGAACGCUGGCGGCAGGCCUAACACAUGCAAGUCGAACGGAUCCUUCGGGAUUAGUGGCGGACGGGUGAGUAACACGUGGGAACGUGCCCUUUGGUUCGGAACAACUCAGGGAAACUUGAGCUAAUACCGGAUGUGCCCUUCGGGGGAAAGAUUUAUCGCCAUUGGAGCGGCCCGCGUCUGAUUAGCUAGUUGGUGAGGUAAAGGCUCACCAAGGCGACGAUCAGUAGCUGGUCUGAGAGGAUGAUCAGCCACAUUGGGACUGAGACACGGCCCAAACUCCUACGGGAGGCAGCAGUGGGGAAUCUUGCGCAGUGGGCGAAAGCCUGACGCAGCCAUGCCGCGUGAAUGAUGAAGGUCUUAGGAUUGUAAAAUUCUUUCACCGGGGACGAUAAUGACGGUACCCGGAGAAGAAGCCCCGGCUAACUUCGUGCCAGCCGCCGCCGUAAUAC
rnacentral:rRNA from 1 species